AAACUUUCAACAACGGAUCUCUUGGCUCUGGCAUCGAUGAAGAACGCAGCGAAAUGCGAUAAGUAAUGUGAAUUGCAGAAUUUAGUGAAUCAUCGAAUCUUUGAACGCACAUUGCGCCCCCCGGCAUUCCGAGGGGCAUGCCUGUUCGAGCGUCAGAACACCCCUCAAGCCUGGCUUGGUCUUGGGGCU
rnacentral:rRNA from 1 species